UACGUAGGGGGGCGAGCGUUGUCCGGAUUUAUUGGGCGUAAAGAGCGUGUAGGCGGCCAGGUAGGUCUGCUGUGAAAACUCGAGGCUCAACCUCGAGACGUCGGCGGAAACCAUCUGGCUAGAGUCCGGAAGAGGAGAGUGGAAUUCCUGGUGUAGCGGUGAAAUGCGCAGAUAUCAGGAAGAACACCCGUGGCGAAGGCGGCUCUCUGGGGACGGUACUGACGCUGAGACGCGAAAAGCGUGGGGGAGCGAAACAGG
rnacentral:rRNA from 1 species